GGCACUGCAGGGUCGUAGAUUCCAAGACCUUGCGAUAAACAGCCAAUGGCUCAGUUUCUUUCAGUGUCUACACACCACAGACAAAACACAGAGCGAGUGCUUAGGAACGCCUAAGUGAAAACUGAUUCUACCUGAGAAGUAACUUGAAGAUUCUUGCAUCUACGACGUUUUACAACUCCGUACGAUGUGAAGUGGUCUUGGUACAAGGCCUGUGACCUAUGAAUUUGUAAUGGUUUAUUACGAAGCCGUCGUGAGAUGUCUUAAUACAGGCUAAUUAAUACCCUAGACUAUGAGAGGAAGGACUGAGGAAACCCUCAGUGAUUGUGGCAGGUUUCCGGGACUAUGCUCCAAAAGGGAACAUCAUGAAAACGAAACCAGACCCCACAGCACCAAGGUGGUCGAAUGUAGAUCGUGGAUGGAGGCUGUUUGAAGAAAGUGCCGAUCAGAAUAGCUGAAACAGCGACGGGGAGAUUUGUAACAUUUUGAAUUUAACGACAGUAAACGAUAUGCAAAUUGAAUCUGCUAUUAAUGUGACCAUCGACAAUUGUGAAAGCCUUAUUGUGUAUCGUAAGUACUUGAACUUCGCCACAUUUUCAAAUGUUAUAUCAGGGCUUUCUGUUAAUCAAGGGUGGUCAACCAAGGUGAAGUUUAAGCCCAUAAUUGUUUAACACUUUUAUAAAUGAUAUUAUGGAAUAUAUAAGAAAGUACUCAGUUCUUAUGCUCCGUCAACAGGGUGAACAACUAUUCCGUUUCUGCUAUUCUUCAUAAGCAUCGGUUCACAUUUGGAAAUAUACCAAAUAGCAAACUACUGUAAAUAACGAAAUUUAAAGUGAAAAUUUGUGUAAACCAAAAACAGCUGUAUUUACAGGGAGCACAUAAAUUUAAUAACAUAAAAAUAUAUAAUAGCUUAGUUUUUGCUUGUGUAUGUUUAUAACCGACUUGGUAAUUUUUAUUUAGUAUAUACGAGGUGCGAUCGGAAAGUUUCAAGACUGCGCGUAUA